CCGCCUGCAUGAAGUUGGAAUCGCUAGUAAUCGCGGAUCAGCAUGCCGCGGUGAAUACGUUCCCGGGCCUUGUACACACCGCCCGUCACACCAUGAGAGUCGGGAACACCCGAAGUCCGUAGCCUAACCGCAAGGGGGCGCGGCCGAAGGUGGGUUCGAUAAUUGGGGUGAAGUCGUAACAAGGUACC
rnacentral:rRNA from 1 species